rnacentral:rRNA from 1 species
UGGGGAAUUUUCCGCAAUGGGCGAAAGCCUGACGGAGUGACGCCGCGUGUGGGACGAAGGCCUUCGGGUCGUAAACCACUGUCAGUGGGAAAGAAGGGUGUCGGGGUUAAUACCCCCGGCAUUUGACGGUACCUGCAGAGGAAGCCCCGGCCAACUCUGUGCCAGCAGCCGCGGUAAGACAGAGGGGGCAAGCGUUGCUCGGAAUUACUGGGCGUAAAGGGCGCGUAGGCGGGAUGGCAAGUCGGUCGUGAAAUCCCUCGGCUCAACCGAGGAACGUCGAUCGAUACUGCUGUUCUUGAGGAUUGCAGAGGAGACUGGAAUUCCCGGUGUAGCGGUGAAAUGUGUAGAGAUCGGGAGGAACACCGGUGGCGAAGGCGGGUCUCUGGGCAAUUCCUGACGCUGAGGCGCGAAAGCGUGGGGAGCAAACGGGAUUAGAUACCCCCGUAGUCC